CGACCGGCGCACGGGUGCGUAACGCGUAUGCAACCUACCUUUAACAGGGGGAUAACACUGAGAAAUUGGUACUAAUACCCCAUAAUAUCAUAGAAGGCAUCUUUUAUGGUUGAAAAUUCCGAUGGUUAGAGAUGGGCAUGCGUUGUAUUAGCUAGUUGGUGGGGUAACGGCUCACCAAGGCGACGAUACAUAGGGGGACUGAGAGGUUAACCCCCACCACUGGUACUGAGACACGGACCAG
rnacentral:rRNA from 1 species